CGGGUGCACUGAUCCGGCCGGGCCUUUCCCUCUGUGGAACCCCAUGGCCUUCACUGGCUGUGCGGGGGAAACAGGACUUUUACUGUGAAAAAAUAGAGUGCUCCAGGCAGGCCUAUGCUCGAAUACAUUAGCAUGGAAUAAUAGAAUAGGACGCGUGGUUCUAUUUUGUUGGUUUCUAGGACCGCCGUAAUGAUUAAUAGGGACAGUCGGGGGCAUCAGUAUUCAAUUGUCAGAGGUGAAAUUCUUGGAUCUAUUGAAGACUAACUACUGCGAAAGCAUUUGCCAAGGAUGUUUUCAUUGAUAAGGAACGAAAGUUAGGGGAUCGAAGACGAUCAGAUACCGUCGUAGUCUUAACUAUAAACUAUGCCGACUAGGGAUCGGACGAUGUUAUUUCUUGACGCGUUCGGCACCUUUCGAGAAAUCAAAGUGCUUGGGCUCCAGGGGGAGUAUGGUCGCAAGGCUGAAACUUAAAGAAAUUGACGGAAGGGCACCACCAGGGGUGGAACCUGCGGCUUAAUUUGACUCAACACGGGGAAACUCACCAGGUCCAGACACAAUGAGGAUUGACAGAUUGAGAGCUCUUUCUUGAUUUUGUGGGUGGUGGUGCAUGGCCGUUCUUAGUUGGUGGAGUGAUUUGUCUGCUUAAUUGCGAUAACGAACGAGACCUUAACCUGCUAAAUAGCCCGUACUGCUCUGGCAGUUCGCCGGCUUCUUAGAGGGACUAUCGG
rnacentral:rRNA from 1 species